rfam:Candidatus Levybacteria bacterium RIFCSPHIGHO2_01_FTLL_41_15 rifcsphigho2_01_scaffold_10187, whole genome shotgun sequence.
GCCUUUGUAGCUCAAUGGUAGAGCACUCCUCUGAAAAGGGAGAGAAGAAGGUCCGACUCCUUCCAAAGGCA